GAUGAACGCUGGCGGCGUGCCUAGUACAUGCAAGUCGAGCGAACGGACGAGAAGCUUGCUUCUCUGAUGUUAGCGGCGGACGGGUGAGUAACACGUGGAUAACCUACCUAUAAGACUGGGAUAACUUCGGGAAACCGGAUCUAAUACCGGAUGAUAUUUUGAACCGCAUGGUUCAAAAGUGAAAGACGGUCUUGCUGUCACUUAUAGAUGGAUCCGCGCUGCAUUAGCUAGUUGGUAAGGUAACGGCUUACCAAGGCAACGAUGCAUAGCCGACCUGAGAGGGUGAUCGGCCACACUGGAACUGAGACACGGUCCAGACUCCUACGGGAGGCAGCAGUAGGGAAUCUUCCGCAAUGGGCGAAAGCCUGACGGAGCAACGCCGCGUGAGUGAUGAAGGUCUUCGGAUCGUAAAACUCUGUUAUUAGGGAAGAACAUAUGUGUAAGUAACUGCGCACAUCUUGACGGUACCUAAUCAGAAAGCCACGGCUAACUACGUG
rnacentral:rRNA from 1 species